AACAGGAUUAGAUACCCUGGUAGUCCACGCUGUAAACGGUGUCGACUUGGAGGUUGUGCCCUUGAGGCGUGGCUUCCGGAGCUAACGCGUUAAGUCGACCGCCUGGGGAGUACGGCCGCAAGGUUAAAACUCAAAUGAAUUGACGGGGGCCCGCACAAGCGGUGGAGCAUGUGGUUUAAUUCGAUGCAACGCGAAGAACCUUACCUACUCUUGACAUCCAGAGAAUUUGCUAGAGAUAGCUUAGUGCCUUCGGGAACUCUGAGACAGGUGCUGCACGGCUGUCGUCAGCUCGUGUUGUGAAAUGUUGGGUUAAGUCCCGCAACGAGCGCAACCCUUAUCCUUUGUUGCCAGCACGUAAUGGUGGGAACUCAAAGGAGACUGCCGGUGAUAAACCGGAGGAAGGUGGGGAUGACGUCAAGUCAUCGUGGCCCUUACGAGUAGGGCUACACACGUGCUACAAUGGCAUAUACAAAGAGAAGCGAACUCGCGAGAGCAAGCGGACCUCAUAAAGUAUGUCGUAGUCCGGAUUGGAGUCUGCAACUCGACUCCAUGAAGUCGGAAUCGCUAGUAAUCGUAGAUCAGAAUGCUACGGUGAAUACGUUCCCGGGCCUUGUACACACCGCCCGUCACACCAUGGGAGUGGGUUGCAAAAGAAGUAGGUAGCUUAACCUUCGGGAGGGCGCUUACCACUUUGUGAUUCAUGACUGGGGUGAAGUCGUAACAAGGUAACC
rnacentral:rRNA from 1 species